CCGCGUGGGUGACGACGGCCUUCGGGUUGUAAACCUCUUUCGUCACGGACGAAGCGCAGGUGACGGUAUGUGCAGAAGAAGGACCGGCCAACUACGUGCCAGCCCCCGCGGUAAUACGUAGGGUCCGAGCGUUGUCCGGAAUUACUGGGCGUAAAGAGCUCGUACGUGGUUUGUCGCGUUGUUCGUGAAAACUCACAGCUCAACUGUGGGCGUGCGGGCGAUACCGGCAGACUGGAAUACUGCAGGGGAGACUGGAAUUCCUGGUGUAGCGGUGGAAUGCGCAGAUAUCAGGAGGAACACCGGUGGCGAAGGCGGGUCUCUGGGCAGUAACUGACGCUCAGGAGCGAAAGCGUGGGGAGCGAACAGGAUUAGAUACCCUGGUAGUCCACGCCGUAAACGGUGGGUACUAGGUGUGGGUUUCCUUCCUUGGGAUCCGUGCCGUACCUAACGCAUUAAGUACCCCGCCUGGGGAGUACGGCCGCAAGGCUAAAACUCAAAGAAAUUGACGGGGGCCCGCACAAGCGGCGGAGCAUGUGGAUUAAUUCGAUGCAACGCGAAGAACCUUACCUGGGUUUGACAUGCACAGGACGACGGCAGAGAUGUCGUUUCCCUUGUGGCCUGUGU
rnacentral:rRNA from 1 species